rnacentral:lncRNA from 1 species
CUGGCACACCAUACGGAACAGUUAACGCCGUUAGAGAAUAUUUCGUAAAAAAAUCAGCAUAUACCGAUAUAUUUUCCUGACGACAUUAAGAAUAUUCUGUCAAAAUUGACGGAAUAUACUCCUUCUCCUUCCUUGGUUCGCCAGAGUCUGGCGCCGGCGCCGCUGCGAUCAAAGAAUGUUAUUCAUAAUACUCGAAGAAUGUUAAAUUUUAUCUGGAGGCAUCUUCGUUUAAUAUUGUGUCUCCCUUAAAAUCUCUUCCAGACGAGUUGCACUAACAGGCUUACGGAAAUUAAAUCCUAUUUUACUUAGCCGAAAGCUUUUGCUUCUUCCUUUACUUCUUUCAUAUAGAAAAGGUAGGGUGUUUGGAGAAAAUAUGAGGUGUAUGUUGAGAAUGUAGGGUAUGAGGGUAUUAUGGGGAAAUAUGUGGGGUGUGUUAAGAUAAUUUUUAAUUAAAAAGCCAAAUGUAUGGUGUAUUAAGUAUAUAAGGUUUAUUUAACAAUAUGUGGGGUGUUAAUAUAAUAAGCAUUUUUUAAUCAAUUUGGGGAUUUAUGCCAACCAAAUGGGGCUCGGUUGAAAGGGUAAUUAUUAAACUUUAGGAGGGUAAUUAUUCAAUGGACAUGAUUAGGGGUCGUUUUGGUCAUUUUGUACCUUGGGUUGGGGUAGGUUGAUUCGAUGGCUCAGAGUGUUUUCUUCCUGCAAUUU